ACGGCGAGUGAAGCGGGAAAAGCUCAAAAUUAAAAUCUGGGCCCAUUUCGGGCUCCGAGUUGUAAUCUAUAGACGUGUGGCCAGUGCGUGACCUGGGUAUAACUCUUUUGGAAAAAGGGAUCAUAGAGGGUGAGAAUCCCGCCUUUGACUCAGAGUUCACCACGUACGAUACACGUUCAACGAGUCGAGUUGCUUGGGACUGCAGCUCUAAGUGGGUGGUAAACUUCAUCUAAAGCUAAAUAUCAGUGAGAGACCGAUAGCGAACAAGUAGCGUGAGCGAAAGGUGAAAAGAACUUUGAAGAGAGAGUUAAAAAGUACUUGAAAUUGCUAAGAGGUAAACUAUGGAAACUAGUCAUUGCUUCUGCGACAUUUUACCAUUUGAUCUUGGAAGAGCUUCGGGUGCAGAGCUGUAAAAAGCCUGUUCUACUCGGGGUUGGACCUUGGUUGGGUGGGUCUGGUGUUGUGGAGCGAGUCAGAAUCAAUUUGUUUCGCCGGAUAAGGCCUUUGGGAAGAUGCGAUCGUCUUCGGACUUUUGUUUAUAGACCAUUGGAGAUACGGUGGAGGAGAUUGAGGAACCGAGAAGGCACCCCCGCAAGGGGAUAGGAGUCUUGUUGGAUGCGUUGCCAGUCGAUUCGGACAGCAAAAGUUGUGCGGUUGAUGAAGCGAUGUACCUAGCAGGGAUCUCUAUUCGUGCU
rnacentral:rRNA from 1 species